GGAGGAAAAGAACUAACAAGGAUUCCCCUAGUAACUGCGAGUGAAGCGGGAAAAGCUCAAAUUUAAAAUCUGGCAGUCUUUGGCUGUCCGAGUUGUAAUCUAGAGAAGUGCUGCCCGCGCUGGACCGUGUACAAGUCUCCUGGGAUGGAGCGUCAUAGAGGGUGAGAAUCCCGUCUCUGACACGGACUACCAGGGCUUUGUGGUACGCUCUCAAAGAGUCGAGUUGUUUGGGAAUGCAGCUCAAAAUGGGUGGUAAAUUCCAUCUAAAGCUAAAUAUUGGCGAGAGACCGAUAGCGAACAAGUACCGUGAGGGAAAGAUGAAAAGAACUUUGGAAAGAGAGUUAAACAGUACGUGAAAUUGCUGAAAGGGAAACGCUUGAAGUCAGUCGCAUUAGCUGGGGAUCAGCCUUGCUUUUUGCUGGGUGUAUUUCCUGGUUGAUGGGUCAGCAUCAAUUUUGACCGCUGGAAAAAGGCUUGAGGAAUGUGGCACCUCCGUGGUGUGUUAUAGCUUCUUGUCACAUACAGUGGUUGGGAUUGAGGAACUCAGCACGCCGCAAGGCCGGGUUUUGACCACGUUCGUGCUUAGGAUGCUGACAAAAUGGCUUUA
rnacentral:rRNA from 1 species